ACGGAUAAAUCUGGGACUGAGUACAAGCAAAACAAGACCAAAGGAAGCUAUCUGAGCAGGUAUUCCAGAUACUCAUGUCAUACACCAAGGUUGUACCAGUGCCCCUUUCUCUGUGACACAUCCAUCCACUGGAAACUUUCAUACAACUAGCUGAAAGAAGAGAAACAUCCUAUUUUAUGUCACUGGAGCCCUAAUGAUCGCAGCCAUUUCAGGAAAUGCCAUCAAUUACAGUGAGGAGCUCAUUCAGAAGUGAAAGAUGAGUUCCAUUCUCUGUUACUUAGAGGAACACAAUUAUUUCUGGAAAGAGUAUUACACUCAGUAUUCUGCAUUUCAUAUGGCAUUUCAAAGUCCUGAGAAUGACUCUCCAUAGUCUUCUAUGUACUAAUUAAACAUGAACAUGUGGU
rnacentral:lncRNA from 1 species